rnacentral:rRNA from 1 species
GAAGCCGGAAUUGCUAGUAAUGGCAGGUCAGCAUACUGCCGUGAAUACGUUCCCGGGCCUUGUACACACCGCCCGUCACACCAUGAGAGUUGGGGAUACCCGAAGCCUGUGAGCUAACUUAACGGAGGCAGCAGUCGAAGGUAGAAUCAAUGAUUGGGGUGAAGUCGUAACAAGGUAGC